UCCGUCAUCGUCGAAUUUUUUUUUUCUUUCGCUGUUCUGUCAAGCAUUGGAGUGUCCUUUCGCCUGAAGCCAUAUGGAGGUGAUGUGUGAAGAACGGUUGCCCGAAGUUGUGCGCCUGCACGUAUAGACCCCUCCCGGCCUACGUCCCGACGAGUCGGUCACGUGGUCUUCGGUUACACGCGGGUGUGCUUGGUGAGCAAAAAAAAGAAAAGAAAUGUACGUCGCACUCGCGUUGGCACGCGCUGACAGAGCUUCACGUAGCAAGUGUGUUCCUUCCAUUUUCUUUGUGCGCGAAGCCCUCAUGCCGGCGAGUUGUUGCGUGGUCGGAUGCGUAAAUAGCACGAGAAAAGAAAAUGGGCAGGAUUGACUUUGUUUUAUUUCCCAAGACAUUGCGAAGUGGGCGACAAACCUGGACGAUGGCAAUGCGCCGCGACAAACGGCAGCCAUCGGACGCCGACAGAAUCUGCGGAGUUCACUUCAUCGCUGGAAAUGCGCAAGCAUCCGACAAAAGAUCCCGCAGGCGUCAUAUGUAUGAAGACCGGCCGUGGGCGCCAUCAGAGGCAAGGCAACCCCAACUUCGAGAGCAGGAGGAGGCCGAGCAGAGCCGUCGACGCA